rnacentral:lncRNA from 1 species
GGGGGCGGGGCCUCCGCCAAGGCGCGCGGCCAAAUCGCACCACCUGUCUGCGCGGAAACCGAGCGCGGGUGUCGCGUUUGGAGCGCAGGAGCGGAACCAGCAGUCCUCCUCUCCUUGCCUUUUGGGGCCAGUGGGCAUGUCCAGGGAUGGGGUCACGCACAGGUGUCUUACAGAGAAAUGUGCAUCUCGGAGUCUGUCAACAAAAUUUUUAUUUCAAGUCUGUGCAACGUGAGGAUUGUUGAAUUUCUGUCCUUCUGGUAUUUAUGGAGGACCCACAAAAAGAACUACUCUGAGUAAAUAAACAGAGAAGAUUAAAGGCUGUCCUCUAUGGGGGGCACCGUUUAUGAGGCAACAAACCAGGAGAGUUGUCUCUGGGAUUUUGUGAUGCUGCUCCAGCCCUGCAGUGGAAACACAUCUCAUUUACGAGUCAUUUCAGGAAGUUUAGGCUCCUCAGCUUCUGAAUCGUAGCAUCCGGAGGCUCUGAGUCUAUGUGUCUGUUGUGGGAGUGUCCCUGCGAACACACAGAGAAGAAAGUGUACUGGUUUCCUAGGGCUGCUGCAGACUCGGUGGCUUAAACAACAGGAAUGUGCUGUUCUGGAGGCUGCAAGGCCAGGAUCAAGGAAAAUGGUAGGAUUGCAUUUCCCUCUUCACCUGGAGUUUGAUGUGGCUGUAUGACUGGAUUUGGACAAUGAAAUGCGGGCAUAAGUGACACAUGUCACUUCUGGGAUGCAGCUUUCAGAGCCAGUGUGUAAUUCACCAUGUCCUCUUCCCCCUGCCAUGACAACCUGCAAUGCUCCGGCCAGAUGCAGAAACUCUGGGGAAAUGACUUGAGCAUGGUCACUGACAAAUGAAAAAUCCGGACCAGGUAAGGAGGGGUUCGAGCCUUUCCAGGGGAUGAUGGUGAGGCAGGGAUCGCGUUGCAAUGGAGGGAUGUUCUGUCCAAAAGACCUGCAAGAGUGACAGCAGUGGGGCAAAGGGAGUUCUUCCAUAGAGAACAGUGAACAAGCAGGGAAGAGCCAGGUGUGGGGAGCGGGAUGGAAGGGGUGUGGGGGCGCAGAGGACCAGGGAGCUGCCCACCCUGGGGCCAGCCUGUCCUCAGGAGGGACGUCUCAGGACGAGGGUGGGCCAAGUUCAGGACCUGGCAGAAGGACAGAGGCAGAACCACAGCUGGGUUAGCAGCAUUUUGUUCUGAUUGAUCAGUGAGAAUGAGCCGUUCGGUGAGUCACUUGGGGAUCAAAGAAAGGGAGUUUGGAAGGUCUGUGUCUGGCCUUGUCUUAGGGAAACACGGGGGUGUCUGUGAAUCUCUUCAAAGUCAUACAAGGAAGAGAGACUUUGCAGCACACAGGUUUCUGGCACACAAAGAAUGGGGGAUUUCUUAGCCGUCACUGUUCUCUCAGGUAAAAUCUAAAGCCAGCAUCUAGUCCUAACCUUGUCUGUUGCAGGGUUAGGACUAGAAUCCGGGACUCUGGACUCUCAGGCCACCGAUGUCACUCCAUCUCUCCACUCUCUUACCUCUUUUUUCGCUGAGCAGUCUUAUAUUUUUCUCUCCAUCCUCUCCCUCAAGCCUGCUGUGAAGAAUAAAGAAGCUGGGUGGCUGCUUAAACGCCAACCCUUCCCAGAGAUGUUUGUGUUUGACUAGGGACCAGGGCUUUAAUUUUGGAAUCUGAAGAGGAGACUCCUUCCCAGGAUCAGACUGUCCUGACAUCUGUUUUCUUUCUUGGGAAUCAUAGGGUCACUUCUGCCUGCACUGGGCAGGGACAACAGAUCAGCAUAAAAGAGGGCAGAUCCUAAGGAGCUGGUUGAUAACUGGUCCUUCAAUCAGAGAUUCUCAGAGCUGGAAGGGUACAAUCCCUCAUUAUGCAGGUGGGAAAAGUGAGGACCGAGUAGGAGGAGGGACAGUAGCUAGACUUGAAUUCAGUGAGGCUCUGCCUAAUUGUUCGCGUUCUGGAGAGACUGAGGGAGCACACGCUCUUUCCCAGACUCCUACCCAUCAGCAUCAAGUCCUCCUCUUCCCGAUACCGUGCCUCCCUCCCUGGUUACAGAUGCACCAGAGGUUAUCAAACGUGAAUAUAAAUAACAAUUUCAAGGUGGCAUUCAGUGGAGAAAACUGCGACUCCACUAACUCUCCUGGGUUAUAAAGGACUGGAGCCCAGGAAUCCACAUUUGAUGACGAUUCCGAAGACCAUCCAUUUGGAGCUCAUGGGUGGGGGCCAUGGGAGGGGUCCAGGGCUAGAAGGAGGGUGGACAGAGUGAGCCCCAGGAAGCUCUCCCAGCCUGAGCCAUCGGUCAUUCAAGGGUCAGUUAGGCAGGUUUGGAGGUGGGGGUCAGGGUGGGGUGUGGCCUUGGUCUCUCACCCCUGGGAGCUGUUGAUAGCUGCGGUAACCUCCCUUCCUCUCCCCUGUGUCCUCCUCAGCCCUCAUAAAGGCAGAGGCUGGGGGAGGGGAGGUGUUCUUCAGGGGGAUUAAAGAUGCUUCCUUGAAAGGAAACAAAUUCCUCACUAAUUAUGCAAUUAUUUUAUUAUGCAGCCCUAAUGAAAAAAAAAUACAUACACCACUCAAAGCCUAAAAAGAAGGCUGUAGCCAGGACUUAUCCAAUUUAAUAAAUCCUCUCCAUCCUGUAAUUAUUUUCUGGAUUCUUUUUAAUGCAAGUCUGCAGGAGGGCGGGGGACAGUCUCUGCUUGGCUGUGGGGGUGGGGGGACAGGCCUUCCCCUUCUCGCUCCACCCCCCAACCCUGCCGCGCUCUCCAAGUGGGUGCCAGGGCAUGCACACCAGUGGUUCUACACCUGCUUCCUCUUCUUGCUCCUUUAUCCUGUCAUAUUCCCGGGAGAAGGGGUAUGGAAGGGAGAUGUAGGGGCCAGAGGAGAGGAGGACACGCUUUCCACUGAAGGCUUUUAGAGUGUGACUCCUUUAGGGGAAUUUUGGCUUUGAUGCUCCCGGCGAGCGAUGCCCCAGCCCCGGCUAGCUAGCCCCGCCCUGUCCUAUCCCAUUUCCUCAGCCUUCCUCUCAACCAGCCGUCAGAGCCCAUUCCCCAACAGCUGGAUGAGAAAAUGCAGAUGUGUUACCCUUACAAAAUCUGUGACUUUGAGUCAGGCAGGUCUGGGCUCAAAGUUUGGCUAAGCAUGGGCCUGUGCUUAACCUCUCUGAGUCUCAGUUUCUUCAUCUGUGAAAUGGAGGUCCCAAUGCCGUCCUCAUGGGGGAUGUCGUGAGAUCGGAGGAGUCCAUGGGCCUCCAGGAUGUGGCAGGUUGACACAGCAGGUGUCCAUCAGCCUAAGUUUCCGUCCAUGCCCUGCCCCUCCCCCACCCCUGGAUGCCUUAGCGUGAACAUCUGCAGGUGGCAUUCAUAAUGGUGGGGGGCAUAUUUCGGCAGUGGACACUUUCCUGGCUCCCUUGAGCUUUCCUCACUCACUUGCCCCCCCUCCCCAUAGUCUUGCAAUGGUGCUGCUCUAAGGGAGGGCUUGACUCCCCGAGGAGGCUGGGGGGUGGGGUGGGGGGAGGUGACGUAUUGAGGUUUGGGGAUUAAGAAGCACCCAGAGAAUCUUAUUUCUCUGUCCCUAAAAGAAAGCCUGGGCCAGGAGGAGCUCUCUGCUUGAUGCCUUCUCCAUCACUAUUGCCAUGGCGACUGCUUACAGCCUGAAUUCCUCAGCCUUCUGACGGAGGCACAGCCAACCAUGCAGAAGGCUGCCACGCCUGGGUCCUGCUGGCCCCUGUCCCGGGGUGGUGGGUCUGGGGGAGAAACUGCUGGAGCCCCGCCACAGCCCCUGGCCCUCUGCCUGCCCCUCCGUAUUUGUUCUUUCACUGAACGGAGUCCGCACCCAACUGGCAUCACCUCUAGGUGCCGCCUUACAACAGGAUCCCAGCCAGGCUGCCUGGACUUUAAAGUCAGAUGGACCCCAUUAGGAGGCUGUUUCUAGUAGUCACUGGCGGUGUCCCCUUGGAUUAGAGUUACAUAAGUUUUCCAGACCUCAGUUUCUUCACCCAUAAAACAGGCAUGCUAAUAGAAUACACCUCUCGGGGUUGCUGUGCAGCGUGUGUGAGGUGACCUAUAAGAAAGAGUUUUGUUUAAUUCAAAGCACCAAACAAACAUGUUGGAGGUGUGUGUGUGUGUUGGGGGGGUGAUGGAAGCAGGCAUCCCUAUUCGAGCACCUCUUACCUAUCCAUUUUUGUUUUAAACCCUGAACACAGAUUGUUUCACUGGACUGAAAACACCAUGAGGUAGGGCUUAAUUUCUUCAUCGUAUCCAUGAGGAAAUGGAGUUUUAGGGAAACUAAAUCAAUGGCCUGAGCUCACCUAGUAGAAAAAGAGCCAGAACUUGACCUGCUACCAGCUCCUUCUCUAUAAAAACCUUUAAGAGAUCACUGUUCAUGUUGGUAGAUUCAAAAGGAAGUUUUUAUUGAACAUUUUCUUAUGGGGGCUACUGGGGACACUAGAGCAGUUUACAAUAGGGUCUUUCUUGACCUCAAGAUGCCUACAUUCCAUGGAAAGCGAACCAGCCUCAAAGCAGGGGGCCCAUGGCAGAAGCCUUGUAUGGAGACAGGCAGCAGGAAUUCAGAAGGGGGCUGUUCUUCCCAGGAUGGGGUCUUUCGAGAAGGCUUCAUGGAGAAGGGGGCCUUGGGGUAGGCUUUCAAAGAAUGGGUAGGGUUUGGAGUUCCUGCUGUGGCUCAGCAGAUUAAGGACCCAGUGCUGUUUCUGAGGAUGCAGAUAUGAUCCCUGGACUUGCUCAGGGGGUUAAGGAUCCAGUGUUGCUGCAAGCUGUGGCAUAGUCUACAGAUGCAGCUCGGAUCUGGUAUUGCUGUGGCUGUGGUGUUGGUGCAGCUACAGCCCUGAUUUGACCCCUUGCUGGGGAACUUCCAUAUGCUGCAGUUGUGGUG